CCCGCACAAGCGGAGGAACAUGUGGUUUAAUUCGAUGAUACGCGAGGAACCUUACCUGGCUUAAAUGGGAGUGACAGCUGUCGAAGAUGGUCUUCUUCGGACACUCUUCAAGGUGCUGCAUGGUUGUCGUCAGCUCGUGCCGUGAGGUGUCGGGUUAAGUCCCAUAACGAGCGCAACCCUUACCGUUAGUUACCAUCAGGUUAAGCUGGGGACUCUAGCGGGACUGCCACCGUAAGGUGAGAGGAAGGUGGGGAUGACGUCAAAUCAGCACGGCCCUUAUGUCCAGGGCUACACACGUGUUACAAUGGCCAGUACAAAGGGCAGCUACCGGGUGACCGGAUGCUAAUCUCUAAAGCUGGUCUCAGUUCGGAUCGAAGUCUGCAACCCGACUUCGUGAAGCUGGAUUCGCUAGUAAUCGCGCAUCAGCCAUGGCGCGGUGAAUACGUUCCCGGGCCUU
rnacentral:rRNA from 1 species